GCGGACGUCGUCUAGCUUGGUUAGGACAUCAGCCUGCCACGCUGGGAACCCGGGUUCAAAUCCCGGCGUCCGCA
rnacentral:tRNA from 2 species